rnacentral:sRNA from 1 species
AGGCAAUCUGUCUACAACAUCAAUCACCUGACUGAUCACUAGGGUUGAUUUUGUUGACCUGGCUAACAAGGUUGGUAUCCCCUUACGAGCUCCAUUUUUGUUCCUUCUGAAGUUGAGCACUGGAUCAAAGUGACAUUCCCAGAAGAGAGGAGGACUAGUCCUCAAUAAAGAGCAUACAAGUGUGGGAAAACUAAACCUCAAUGAGCCUGACAGCUGGCUUACAGCAUGU